AUGAGGUAGGGAAAGGCAGGGAGUGGAUGAGUAGAAACAAAAAAUUAGGAAUGAAGAAGGGGAGAAGGGAGGAGGAAGAAUGAUACAGUAAUGGGAGAGACAGAAAAGCAGAGAGACACUAAUAUUUUAGUCUAUAUUCUCCACCAUUACAGCAAACCACAGACAGAGUGGCUGAAACAACAGAAAUGUAUUUACUUCACUAUUGAAGGCUAGUAAAUGCAACAUCUUGGCACCAGUCACUUACAUUACAGGCAAAUGCUCCCUUCCUAGCUGGCAGAUGGUAGAUUCUAUCAGGUCCGAUAAAAAUGGCUCUGUUUCAUGUGAACUUAACGUCAGAGAGUUCGAGCCCACAAUUGCUCUUUUAAAGUUAAACAACAGAAUGUUGGGCCUAAGGUAUGACUACUGUGUGUCUUGCCUUAACAAGAUAUCUGCUCUAAAGUGUAGCUAAUGAAUGUCUCACCUUGACAACAGGAUAUUUGAUUUAGGGUAUGGUUAGUUGAUGUUUUGGAUAGUAAGAAGGUAAUUAUUCUUGCUUGUUCUUUGUAUUUUGAUAAGGAAGUCUUUUCCUCCCCCUUCUUUUUAUUAGGUUAUUUAAGAGUUUUGAAUAAUAAGCAAGGGUGAUCCUAGUACUCACUAGAUGCCCUCCAGACUCUAUCUCUUCUUUCUUGUCUAUUUUUUCCCUCAGUCUACAUUCCCCUUCUCAGGUAUGGACUGGACAAGUUGGCUGCUUCCAAGAGAUAGCCUCUCAACAUGGGUUACUACAAGAUUCCAGUUGCAUACUCAUGUGAUUAGGUGGUGUUAUCCCUGGGCUUCUGGCCUUGGGUUCUAUAAUAAACCAUACUGAGCAAAUCAUGAGGAGCAAGCCAGUCAGCAGCACUCCACCUUAGUCUCUGGAUCAGCUCCUGCCUCCAUUUUCCUGAUAUGUUUCAGUUUCUGUCUGAUUCUGUUUAUGAUGAAUUGUGAUGUGGAAAUUAAGAAUGUAAGCUGAAUAAACUCUUUUUUGCCCAAGUGGCUUUUGUCAUGGUAUUUCAUCACAGCAAUCAAACCCUAAAACAGUGUCUCAAAAAAAAAAAAAGAUUAACCAACAUGGAAAUGAAA
rnacentral:lncRNA from 1 species